UACGUAGGGCGCAAGCGUUGUCCGGAAUUAUUGGGCGUAAAGAGCUCGUAGGCGGCUUGUCACGUCGGGUGUGAAAGCCCGGGGCUUAACCCCGGGUCUGCAUUCGAUACGGGCUAGCUAGAGUGUGGUAGGGGAGAUCGGAAUUCCUGGUGUAGCGGUGAAAUGCGCAGAUAUCAGGAGGAACACCGGUGGCGAAGGCGGAUCUCUGGGCCAUUACUGACGCUGAGACGCGAAAGCUAGGGGAGCGAACAGG
rnacentral:rRNA from 1 species